GCUGUGAAUCAAAUUCCAAUAUUCGAUUGAAAUACAAGCUUACUAGACAAGAUCUAGUUGCAAUCUCUCAUAUCUCCUUUUAUCUCUCAUCUCUCUCUAUUUCUUGAAAUACUCUCACCACCAUCUCUCAUUUUGUUCAAAAAUCUUCUGCGUUAGGGGAACCGGAGAAGGAGAUCGGAGAGUGAGAGAGAGAAAGACGGUGGAAGGAGGUGGGGAGGUGUUGGUGGGGACGGAGGUGGCGGAAGACGGUGAUAGGGAUGUUUGGCAUGCUCCGGUGACCAAGUCGUUGGUGGGAGGUGGUGGGAGGUGGCGGAAGACGGUGAUGGCGGUGGUGGUGGCUGCUCUCCGGCGGCAUCUUCUGCUCCCUUUCCUCUCCGCCGCCCCUUUGUGACUGGUGUUUGGUGGUGGUGGCGUUGGGGUUGGUGGCGGUGGCGUUGGGGAUGGUGGUUGAGCCCGAGGGAAGGCGUUGGCUGAGCCGGUGAAGCCAGAUGCAGAUCUUUUGUUAUUUGAUCUGUUGGUAUUUCUUGUUGUUGGUAUUGAUCUGUUGUGAUUUUUGGUAGAUUCGGUCAGUGAUUUUUGCUGGGUUUGCUGGUGAUUUUGAAUAUUUGAAUCUGUGGGUUUUGCUGGUGCUUUUUGGUAGUUUUUCGAACAGUAGUUAUGUGGGUUUUGAUCCGUUUUGGAUUCGGGCGGUGACGAUGCAAAAAAAAAAACAUAUAUUUUGAUUACGAUUGGGCGGCACGGUUGGUGGAUGGUAGAUUUUUGAAACUGAACCCCCACUUUGCAGCCUCUCUGAUUAUCGAAAAAAAUCUGAACCAAACCCCUUUUUUCAAGAAUCCAAACAUUUGUUUUUGAUUUUUGUUGUUGAUUUUUUAUUUUUUUCCUCGGUCGAUGAUGAUCACAAUAUACCUGAGACACCUACCGAGUUGCGAUUUCUGGGUGCGUUCGUUUUUUUGUAAAAAAUGUUUGAAAAAAAACGCUUAAACCGUAAACUUGUUACGUAAAACGUAAACUUUUUUAGUGUAAAAACGUAAAAGGGUUAACGUAAAAAUGUAACGUAAAACUUUUACGUAAAACGUAAAAACGUAAAGCGUAAAACUUUAACGUAAAACAUAAAAAGUCUAACGUAAAACGUAAAAAUUUUAACGUAAAACGUAAAAAGUUUUACGUAAAUCGUAAAACGUUAAAAGUUUUACGUAGAACAUAAAACGUAAAUCGU
rnacentral:lncRNA from 1 species